rnacentral:lncRNA from 1 species
AACUUCCGUAGCCGGGUUGCAGCAAUGUAGAGCUGUCCGUUCGUCGCCUCUGGUUUCAGAUCGUGUUAGCAAUAGGCAAGAGGCGACUUUUAUUUUGUUGUAGAAAAAGGUUACAGCAAUGUAGAGCUGUCCGUUCGUCGCCUCUGGUUUCAGAUCGUGUUAGCAAUAGGCAAGAGGCGACUUUUAUUUUGUUGUAGAAAAAACUCUGGUUGGCUACAUAGUUACAAUGACUCAUUUCCUAUUUCGUCUAUAUGGUUGGUUUGUGAUAAAAAUGCAAACAAAUGUCUCAUUGUUUCCGAGUAAUUCUGAAAUUUCAGCGUUCUGUUCCUUAGAUCCUGAUGAAAUUUGCUGCUGCGUUGUAUGCAAUUCUUGUGGCCUGUCU